AAGGCUCUAGCUUAAUUAAAGUAUUUGGGUUGCAUUCAAAGGAUGUUAGAUAGAAUCUUGCGAGUCUUA
rnacentral:tRNA from 1 species